AUGUGAGGCUGGUUUAACUGCAACAUCUGUUAACAUUGAUAAUGAUGGAUGAUCCAGAUGAUCAGCUGGCUAGCUGGCUGUCCCCCUUCCUCCCUUAUCACUCUUGUACAUUCCUCCCAGAGCUGCAUGCUUGGUGGAAGAGGUCAGCCUUCCCAGAUACAAGGAGCAUAGUAAUCUUUGGUCAAGGGUAUAUGAUAGAUGUACUAGAACUACCACACAAGCUCAAAAGCAGACAAGAGAGCAGUUUAGGAAAAAUCUAUCCAAAUCCUGUCAAAGAUGCGUCAAAUGGCAUCAAAUCUGGA
rnacentral:snRNA from 1 species